UGCGUACAAAUCAACAAACGGCAGGGUGAGUAACUGCUCACUGAACUAAUUGCAUUGCUGCUUAUGUUUCCAAAAUUUUAAAGAUAUUCUAGAUUGUUUGUGAAACUAUAUAGCAUUUUGUGAAAUAGAAGUUUAAUCUUUAUUUAUCUUUAGAGAAUGGUGAAGUUAUAUCCUGACAAGUUUAGGCUAAAACAGCAGUUGAUAAAUAAGUGAUGGUUAAAAUGUGACAUUUAUUUAAUUGUAGAAAAUUAUUGAAAAAUCAUCCCAUAAAAUGAUAAAAAGCUAAUAUGCUGUAAUAUGUAAUAUGCUAACAAAAUAAUUAGGUGCUUAGAUGUAUCUGUUGACUAAAAUUUAAAUUAUAAUCAUUAAUUUUUUUUAGUUUAGAAAUUAUGGAACAGAUGGCCUUACUUCAAGAAACGGCUUAUGAAAGACUUUACCGAUGGGCUCAAAGUGAAUGCAGAACAUUGACACAAGAAUCAUGUGAUGUAUCUCCAGUAUUGACACAGGCAAUGGAAGCCCUGCAGGACAGACCUGUCUUAUAUAAGUUGGUGACUUUUUCUUAAAAAUGAAAGCCUACUUUUCUUUUGAUAAUUUACUUUAAAUUUUAGUAUUAUCAAAAGCGUAUAUAAUAGUUUGAGUAAUAUUUAUAAUAAUUUACAACAAUAUUGUUCACCUUAACUUGAAUUUGUUUCAUAGGGUAUCAGCUUAUUUGAAUUUUACAUACUAUAGAAUAAAAUAUGGAAAGAGAA
rnacentral:sRNA from 1 species